rnacentral:ncRNA from 1 species
UUCUUUGAGAGUUUGAUCCUGGCUCAGGAUGAACGCUGGCGGCGUGCCUUAAGCAUGCAAGUCGAAUGGCUUGUGCUUUGCACAAGAAUUUUCAAGUAACAAUUCUCAAUUUUCAUUGAAUUUUCAUUUGUUUAAUUUUUAAAAUUUAAAACAUUUGAAUUUCAUUAGAAAUUGGAAAUUAGAAAUUGGUAAUUCUCGCGCAAAGCGCGAGCAAUGGCAGACGGGUGAGUAACGCGUGGGAAUCUACCUCUGGGGGGAACAUAGCCGUCCGAAAGGAUGGGUAAUAUUCCAUAGCCUCAAGGCAGAGCCUUGAUGGCAAUGACUAACAACUAAGACGGCUAACAAAGUUAGCCUCUAAUAACUAACGAAUUCGUUAGAAGUUAGUAGUUAGAAGUUUGUUGUCCUCAAAGCUUUGCUUUGAGUAAAGGACUUAACGGUCCGCCGAGAGAGGAGCCUGCGUCCUAUCAGCUUGUUGGCGGGGUAAAGGCCCACCAAGGCUAUGACGGGUAGCUGGACUGAGAGGUCGAUCAGCCACAACUGCACUGAAACACGGGCAGUACACCUACGGGUGGCAGCAACUGGGAAUAUUGCGCAAUGGGGGAAACCCUGACGCAGCGACGCCGCGUGAAGGAAGAAGGCCUAAGGGUCGUAAACUUCUUUUGCUAAGCCGUUCACAGCUUAGAGAAUAAGCCUCUACUAACUACGUGGCCCAUUAAAUUGGGUUUGGCGCGUAGUAUAAAUUUCACUAUAUGCUGGAAAAUUUUGUUAAUGCUUAUCUACCUACAAGGUAAAAAUGAUAAGCCAAACCCAUCCCGCACAACUUUGCUUUUCGCCUUAGAUCGUUUGAUCUGCGGCUCAAAGAGCAGUUUAACGGGACAAGAAAAAACUUCGAGACUAGUAUAAGGGUUACAAAACAAUCAGCAGGAAACCAUCUUUCGCAUAAAGCUUCAGAUGGGAUCCUCAGAGACUAUACGUGAAACUUUGUUUGAAAAAACAUUGAAGAUAUAGUCCAUGUUCGGAACGUUAAUUUAACGGGCCGGGCCAGCCCCGUUAGAAAUCUGGUUGAGAAAUCAGGUUUUUAUUCGGAGCUGAAGUCCUUUUAGGAUUGGUUCAAUUUAAUGAACACAUUUCUAACGGGGCCAGAAGUCUCGGUAAUACGUAGGAGGCAAGCGUUAUCCGGAUUCAUUGGGCGUAAAGAGUGCGUAGGCGGCAUAGCGUGUCGUAUCUUAAAUACCAAGGCUUAACCUUGGAGGUGGAUACGAAACUACUAUGCUUGAGGGUUGACAGGGAUGCUAGAACAGUUAGUGUAGCAGUGAAAUGCGUUGAUAUUAACUGGAAUACCAAAG